AUUGAACGCUGGCGGCAGACCUAACACAUGCAAGUCGAGCGAGCGGCGGACGGGUGAGUAAUGUCUGGGGAUCUGCCCGAUAGAGGGGGAUCACUACUGGAAACGGUGGCUAAUACCGCAUACUAUCGGAUGAACCCAUAUGGGAUUAGCUAGUAGGUGGGGUAAAGGCUCACCUAGGAGACGAGCUCUAGCUGGUCUGAGAGGAUGAUCAGCCACACUGGGACUGAGACACGGCCCAGACUCCGACGGAAGGCAGAAGUGGGGAAUAUUGCACAAUGGGCGCAAGCCUGAUGCAGCCAUGCCGCGUGUGUGAAGAAGGCCUUCGGGUUGUAAAGCACUUUCAGCGGGGAGGCGUUACCCGCAGAAGAAGCACCGGCUAACUCCGUGCCAGCCGCCGCGGUAAUAC
rnacentral:rRNA from 1 species